GUGGGGAAUAUUGGACAAUGGGCGCAAGCCUGAUCCAGCAAUGCCGCGUGCAGGAAGAAGGCCUUCGGGUUGUAAACUGCUUUUGUACGGAACGAAACGGUCCGGGUUAAUACCCUGGGCUAAUGACGGUACCGUAAGAAUAAGCACCGGCUAACUACGUGCCAGCAGCCGCGGUAAUACGUAGGGUGCAAGCGUUAAUCGGAAUUACUGGGCGUAAAGCGUGCGCAGGCGGUUUUGUAAGACAGGCGUGAAAUCCCCGGGCUCAACCUGGGAAUUGCGCUUGUGACUGCAAGGCUGGAGUGCGGCAGAGGGGGAUGGAAUUCCGCGUGUAGCAGUGAAAUGCGUAGAUAUGCGGAGGAACACCGAUGGCGAAGGCAAUCCCCUGGGCCUGCACUGACGCUCAUGCACGAAAGCGUGGGGAGCAAACAGGAUUAGAAACCCAUGUAGUCC
rnacentral:rRNA from 1 species